GCCAAGGUACAAGCAGGACACAAUCAGGGCUUUUUAAUACAGAGAAAACAUGCGGGUUAAUCAUGGUGAUUAGAACCAAGUCUUGCUGCUGUCUCUGAAGCUCAGUGCGUCACACCCCAGAUACUAUGGUAUCAGUUCUCUGGGUAAUAUAACCUUUCAACUCCCUAUCAAAGGUAACAACCAACCACUGAGAAUAUCUGGAUAAAGUCAACAAACCACUUUAAACAGAUGAACUGAAACAUUAAAACUCACAACUCUUCUGCCCUAGCAAACUGCUGAGGAUUUUCUAGAUUUCCCAGUCUUAAGAGACCAAACUGUAGCUCAGUUAUCACCAGACCAGCAUUUCACUCAACACACCUUUCAGACUGAGAACAAGGUCAAGCUCAUACAUAACUAAGAACCAUGAACCAGAAUGGUGGCCCAUGCAGCACCAGAGUUGUGAUCAGAGAUGCCGUCAGGGAUGGAGCAGAGGCAAUGCCACAAGAGUCACAAGAGUCCACCUGGGCCAGUGGGCUGCGCUCAGUAUCUAAGAGGGUGUAGUGGAAAUCCAGUGUGUUCACUCUCUAAUCUGCACCUUGCUUAAGCCCACUAUGACUGUCACUGAAGUUAAUAAGAGCAGCUGUACCAGUGUUGUCCCUGUAAGCAAUAGCAGUGAUGCCUCAAUCGGGAGCCAAUCCUGAGAUGCAGGAGCACCACUGUGUUAGUUGGUUCAGGGUACUAGAACAAAAUACUUCAGAUUGGGUAAUUUAUAAAUAGAAAUUUACUGCCGGUAGUUUUGGAAGCUGGGAAGUCCAGGAUCUAGGUGCCGGCAGAUUUAGUGUCUGGUGAGGGGCUGUUCUUCAUAGAUGGCACCUUCUUGCUGUGUCCUUAAAACAUGGCAAAGAUGCAAAAAAGCUCCCUUGGGCCCCUUUUGUAGGCACUAAAGGGCUCUGCCCUCAUGGCCUAAUCCUCUUAAGCACCCCAACUCUUAAUGCUAUUGCACUGGGGAUUAGGUUUUAACUCAUGCAUUAUAGGGGGACACAAACAUUCAGACCACAGUAACCAUGCUCUGUCUACCCAUUCAUCCCUUUCCAAGCCCCUCAACUCCACUUCCCUCUCUUCCCAGGACAUUCAUGGAAAUUAACCUUACACUACAUCCUUGAUGCAUUACUUCUUUCUUUAGGAUGAAUUAGAUAGAACUCCUCUUUCCCUUCCUCCUCUCUCCCCUGAAAAUAUUUUAUGAAUAUCACAGACAAGAAAACCAAAGAAUGAAUCCCAUGGAAGAAUUCCAGAUACUAACUAGCAAGUAACUAGGAAAGAGAAUUCUGGACCCUGGGGCCUUUAUGUUCUCCCAAAUUGCACUGCAGAACUUAGUCCCCGCAAAUUCUCAGCUUUCCCUGUCUACACUCCUUUUUCAAUGUCUUGGUUACCAUUAGUAGUUCCCAAAUGAGCUUGCAGCUCUGUUAAUCCCAUCUCGGUACAUGGUAUAUCACUUACUUCUGGUCAAAAUAAUUAAAAUUAUAAAUAAGAAACCAUCUUUGAUUCCUCUUUCUCUCUCACACCACAACCAAUCUAGCAUUGACCCUAGUUCCAGAAUGUUCUGGAGAAUUUAGCAUGACAAAGAAACAAAACCACAUCGUCCUCUGCCCUGCCCAAGACUGGGAUUCCAAAAAUAUGUCCAAUUAAGAAGAAUCCCAAGGUGGUUGUACAAGCACAGGCAAGUCUAGCUUACACUGGUUAGGUAUCUUAGGAUCUCUCAUUUUUAAAUGCUUCUGAUACAUAGAAAUCUUUAUCCUCUCAGCGCCUGCUCAGGUUUGUGUUGUUGUCACGCGGAGCCAAUCUUCAGCGCCUGCUCAGCACUCCAACAAGUGCCAUGCCGAAG
rnacentral:lncRNA from 1 species